AUGUUUUAUUCAUGUUCUCAUGCAUUAAACAUUUUUUUCCGUCCCACAAUUCCCUACGAUAUCUGUGCGAAGUGUCGUUCUUUUGGACUCUGCGAAUUUGAAGUUUCUGAAACGAAAUAGCUAGACUAAUUAUCUGUUUAUAGAAUUGAUGUUCGAAAUCAUGGUUUCUGAGUGAACUUCAUUGGAGCGGAAAAUCUUGGAGGGAACAUCAAUACUAUUCUAAUGACAUUCCAUAGGAAUAAAAAUCCAGUGGGACCAAGUUCUUAGCAGUUCACACCUAGUCAGAAGUACAAAAUUGAGAACCAUGCCGAUCAGCAAGUGUUAGUUACAAUCUAAUGAGGAACAGGAUAUCUGAAUGGAAAAAUUGCAAGGUUUCCCACUUCCUAAGCUGUUUAAGUACUGGUAUCACAACAUAAGUGCCAAGAAGAGAUAUGAAACGGUCUCAAAAUUUUUGCU